GUGCAGCAGGCGCGAAUCCUCCACAAUGCACGCAAGUGCGAUGGGGCUACCUCGAGUGCCGCCUGGUGAAGGCGGCUUUUCCACGGUGUAAACAGCCGUGGGAAUAAGAGGGGGGCAAGGCUGGUGUCAGCCGCCGCGGUAAUACCAGCCCCUCGAGUGGUGGGGACGAUUAUUGGGCCUAAAGCGUCCGUAGCCGGCCCGAUAAGUCCCUCGUUAAAUCCAGCGUCCUAAGCGCUGGGCUGCGGGGGAUACUGUCGGGCUAGGGGGCGGGAGAGGCCGGCGGUAUUCCCGGGGUAGGGGCGAAAUCCGUUGACGUCCGGGACGACCA
rnacentral:rRNA from 1 species